AGGGCGUGAACCGCUUAGAAGUAAACGAGUGGAGCUGCAAUGCAGUUCGCAGGAUUCAGCCGGUCCACGCGUGUCCGGUUCCGCGCCAGAUCUUCCCAGACGGGAAUGGUUCCGGCUCACGCAGGGCAGGUGCACUUUCUGCGAACGUGCGCCACGACCGUUUGCCGCGCCGACUGAAGGCGUUCAAGCUGCCGACGGAGACUUUCGGGUCUCCGAGCCCCGCUUGGACUGCCCGCCUUCUGGUCGCGGCGAACGAUGACCUUACUGCCGCACCCGCUUGCCUCAUCGCAGACGGUUCGCGUGCGUCUGAAAUGGCUUGGCUUGCGCAAGCAAGUCUGGCCGAUGCACGCGCGACGAUACUGUCUGCGCUUGAGCGGUGCCCAAGGUCUGUGGCGUCCGUGUCAGCGUCCCACUCGACCCGUCUUGAAACACGGACCAAGGAGUCUAGCAUGUGCGCAAGUCAUUGGGUGCACAAACCCAAAGGCGCAAUGAAAGUAAAGGUCAACUCCGUUGGCCGAGGUGAGAUCCCGCGGCAUUUCGGUGCCCGGGCGCAUCACCGUCCCGUUCCAUCUACUCGCUAGAGGGGCGGCGACAGAGCGCACACGCUGGGACCCGAAAGAUGGUGAACUAUGCCUGAGCAGGACGAAGCCAGAGGAAACUCUGGUGGAGGUCCGUAGCGGUUCUGACGUGCAAAUCGAUCGUCAGACUUGGGUAUAGGGGCGAAAGACUAAUCGAACCAUCUAG
rnacentral:rRNA from 1 species